GAGUUUGAUCCUGGCUCAGAACGAACGCUGGCGGCGUGCUUAACACAUGCAAGUCGAACGUGAUUGAGAGCUUGCUCUCAUGAAAGUGGCGCACGGGUGAGUAACACGUGGAUAAUCUGCCYGGCGAUU
rnacentral:rRNA from 1 species